AUCAUCUUUGCUCUCUUUUUCCCCCAACUUGUGUUUACUUUUCCCUCAUCAUAUUUGGCAUGAUGCUGUUGUCCACCCUCUUAUUUUACUAAGGCUGGCAUCACUAUAUUGUAGCAUGAAUAAGGUGAAACACAUCCAUAACUUGUAUAACCGCCCCACAAGCUUUCUUUUCCCAUCUUGGCAAUGAUACAAAUGGAAACAAACAAAAAUUUCUGUGGACUUUGCUUUUGAAGAAUAUAAAGUAGUUAGCACAUGCUACUUACUAGGUAGUAAUCUCUAAUGUCAUGAAAAUAUCUCCAUGUAAAAGUGAUUAAAUAUGUUCU
rnacentral:lncRNA from 1 species